rnacentral:ncRNA from 2 species
CUGCGUCGCUAGGGGUCCUGCCCCUGCCGGACAGCGCCAGGGAGCAGUUCCCGCACGCAACGGCAGGCUGGUGGGUGAGAGUUACCCUUCGAACCUGACCCGGAUAAUCCCGGCGUAGGGAAGCGUGAUCUGCCAGAC